CAGAGAUAUGCCCUCCGGGGCAGACCUCCCACCCUGUAUAAUUUACUCUUGUUGCUUUGGCAGGCCGCCUUCGGGCCCCCGGCUCUUUGCUGGGGAGCGCCUGCCAGAGGACCCCAACUCUGUUGUUUAUCUGUCGUCUGAGUACUAUAUAAUAAGUUA
rnacentral:misc_RNA from 1 species